CCCUGAAGCUGGCCUCACAGCGAUGCAGUCUGCUGUAGAGCAGCAGGCCAGACUCAGACAUG
rnacentral:sRNA from 1 species